AGAAUCAACGCUGGCGGCGUGCCUAACACAUGCAAGUCGAACGCGACUUGGGGCUUCGGUUCCAAGUUGAGUGGCGAACGGGUGAGUAACACGUGGGUGAUCUACCUUCGAGUGGGGGAUAACGUUCCGAAAGGAACGCUAAUACCGCAUGACGUUCCGGGUUUGAAGACCUGGAAACCAAAGCCGGGGACCGUAAGGCCUGGCGCUUGGAGAGGAGCCCGCGUCCGAUUAGCUAGUUGGCGGGGUAAUGGCCCACCAAGGCGACGAUCGGUAG
rnacentral:rRNA from 1 species